AUUGAACGCUGGCGGCAGGCUUAACACAUGCAAGUCGAGCGGUAACAGAGAGAAGCUUGCUUCUCUGCUGACGAGCGGCGGACGGGUGAGUAAUGCCUAGGAAUCUGCCUAGUAGUGGGGGAUAACUUGCCGAAAGGUAAGCUAAUACCGCAUACGUCCUACGGGAGAAAGGAGGGGACCUUCGGGCCUUUCGCUAUUAGAUGAUCCUAGGUCGGAUUAGUUAGUUGGUGAGGUAAUGGCUCACCAAGACCGCGAUCCGUAACUGGUCUGAGAGGGUGAUCAGUCACACUGGAACUGAGACACGGGCCAGACUCCUACGGGAGGCAGCAGUGGGGAAUAUUGGACAAUGGGGGGAACCCUGAUCCAGCCAUGCCGCGUGUGUGAAGAAGGUCUUAGGAUUGUAAAGCACUUUAAGUUGGGAGGAAGAGCAGUUAACUAAUAUUUGACUGUUUUGACGUUACCGACAGAAUAAGCACCGGCUAACUUCGUGCCAGCCGCCGCCGUAA
rnacentral:rRNA from 1 species